UACGGAGGGGGUUAGCGUUGUUCGGAAUUACUGGGCGUAGAGCGCGCGUAGGCGGAUUAGAAAGUUGGGGGUGAAAUCCCGGGGCUCAACCCCGGAACUGCCUCCAAAACUACUAGUCUAGAGUUCGAGAGAGGUGAGUGGAAUUCCGAGUGUAGAGGUGAAAUUCGUAGAUAUUCGGAGGAACACCAGUGGCGAAGGCGGCUCACUGGCUCGAUACUGACGCUGAGGUGCGAAAGUGUGGGGAGCAAACAGG
rnacentral:rRNA from 1 species